CCUACGGGUGGCAGCAGUGAGGAAUAUUGGUCAAUGGGCGCGAGCCUGAACCAGCCAAGUCGCGUGAGGGAAGACGGCCCUAUGGAUUGUAAACUUCUUUUGUCGGGGAGCAAAAGACGCCACGCGUGCCGUUUCGUAAGUACCUGAUGAAAAAGCAUCGGCUAACUCCGUGCCAGCAGCCGCGGUAAUACGGAGGAUGCGAGCGUUAUCCGGAUUUAUUGGGUUUAAAGGGAGCGCAGGGGGAAGAUCAAGUCAGCGGUAAAAUCGUGGGGCUCAACCUCGCUCUGCCGUUGAAACGGGCGUUCUUGAGGGGGAGAGAAGGAUGCGGAAUUCGGGGGGUAGCGGUGAAAUGCAUAGAUAUCACGCAGAAAUCCGGUUGCGAAGGGAGCAUUACGGCGCUCAACUGACGAUGAAGCACGAAAGCGUGGGGAUCGAACAGGAUUAGAUACCCUAGUAGUC
rnacentral:rRNA from 1 species